AAUUGUUACCCCUUAACGCUGUACAAUAAUAAGAACAUCCAGGUCAUGUUGUCGCUAUUUGUUCUGGGUUAGUUCAUCGCCCAUGCAUCAGUAUAUAAUACGCUUCACCCUUCAGCAGCUCACUAAACUGUUUCCAAAGACGCCAGAACGUCGACAACUUACGAAAUGAAACAAUCAUUCCAACUUGCAGUACUUCUGCUCAUCGUAGCAAUGUGCUUCACAUACGCUGCUAAUACCUACAACGACGAGGUCAGCGAACCGCCUUGCGACUUCACAGGGUGCAAAAGUAAAGUCGUAAAGCGAGCUCCUAGCUCUAUUAUGUGUAUCGUUGUUAAUAGAACCAUGGUUUGUCCAUGGAGUUUUGUUGGGAUGGGAUAAAAAGUAGAGCAAACUCAUAUUUUUAAAAUAUAUAUACAUACCCAUGCCAAUAAAACAUCAAACCUCAAUAAACAGCAGGCUAACAUACAGUAUGAGCAAAUAAAAGUUGUAUAAAAACUUG